rnacentral:rRNA from 1 species
GACGAACUGUCCUAACGUUGUUCGGAAUCACUGGGCUUAAAGGGCGCGUAGGCGGUCCCGUCAAGUCAGGGGUGAAAUCCUGCAGCUUAACUGUAGAAGUGCCCUCUGAUACUGACGGUCUUGAGGGAGAUAGGGGUGUGCGGAACUUCCAGUGGAGCGGUGAAAUGCGUUGAUAUUGGAAGGAACGCCGGAGGCGAAAGCGGCGCACUGGAUCUCUUCUGACGCUGAGGCGCGAAAGCCAGGGGAGCAAAGCGGG